CUGCUAUGGUCAAAACGGAAACGAAGUAACACAAAUCAUUAUCUUAGUAACAGUGACGCAAAAGCAGAACGAAUCCGAGAGUGGCGCGGUUCGACCUAUAUAGCUGUGCAGCAACCCGCCAACCAUUCAGUGUCGGUGAGACUGUGGAGGAGGAAGACGUGUUAUGUAUUUUUCUCGCUAGUGAUACUGAAAGUCUAGUAAAGAAAGCAUUUGUUUUUAUUUGGUUUAUCAAACUUUCUGAAAAUUAAUUAACACAUAUUUACAUAAGAUCUCUGUGCUAUUUUUAGAAUGAAGUUUUAGCGAAUUUUCAUAAUCAAGUGUUUGUUUACGACGCCCACCUCACGUGCGUAGUGAAGUCUGGAGUAAGUUAAGUGAAUCCAAAAGAACUAGCGGCCUUCACCGCUCGUAGACUUCCGUGCCUCACCCCACGCCCGCGACCUUCACACUGUUUUGACGAGGUACGAAUUCGGUUCCAGCGCCGCCUGUGAUCGCCGGGGGACACUCCCGUCGCAACAGACCGAUGGUUUCGGUGAAUGAUGGCGGCGAUGUUCUAAUUUGUAAGUAGAGAGAUGGCAUGACCGAGCUGCUGACCAUGGCGGCGGACCCCGAGGCAUGGGCGCCCAAGCAACGGGCGAGGGCUGCGGCCCGCGCUCCCGCCCCUCGCGACCGCAGGGCCUCCGGCGGCGCCUUCCUCUCGUGGCUGGCGGUGCUGCUCAUGUGGCUCUGCUGGUGCCGGAGCGCGGAGGCAUCCCGCUGCGUGAAGUUCUCGAAGAAUAAUAUGACAGGUACGUUGCUGUGUCCUUG